rnacentral:rRNA from 1 species
GACGAACGCCGGCGGCGUGCUUAACACAUGCAAGUCGAACGGAAAGGCCCUGCUUUUGUGGGGUGCUCGAGUGGCGAACGGGUGAGUAACACGUGAGUAACCUGCCCUUGACUUUGGGAUAACUUCAGGAAACUGGGGCUAAUACCGGAUAGGAGCUCCUGCUGCAUGGUGGGGGUUGGAAAGUUUCGGCGGUUGGGGAUGGACUCGCGGCUUAUCAGCUUGUUGGUGGGGUAGUGGCUUACCAAGGCUUUGACGGGUAGCCGGCCUGAGAGGGUGACCGGCCACAUUGGGACUGAGAUACGGCCCAGACUCCUACGGGAGGCAGCAGUGGGGAAUAUUGCACAAUGGGCGGAAGCCUGAUGCAGCAACGCCGCGUGCGGGAUGACGGCUUUCGGGUUGUAAACCGCUUUCGCCUGUGACGAAGCGUGAGUGACGGUAAUGGGUAAAGAAGCACCGGCUAACUACGUG